rnacentral:rRNA from 1 species
GAAGUGCGAAUGCUGACAUAAGUAACGAUAAAGCGGGUGAAAAGCCCGCUCGCCGGAAGACCAAGGGUUCCUGUCCAACGUUAAUCGGGGCAGGGUGAGUCGACCCCUAAGGCGAGGCCGAAAGGCGUAGUCGAUGGGAAACAGGUUAAUAUUCCUGUACUUGGUGUUACUGCGAAGGGGGGACGGAGAAGGCUAUGUUGGCCGGGCGACGGUUGUCCCGGUUUAAGCGUGUAGGCUGGUUUUCCAGGCAAAUCCGGAAAAUCAAGGCUGAGGCGUGAUGACGAGGCACUGCGGUGCUGAAGCAACAAAUGCCCUGCUUCCAGGAAAAGCCUCUAAGCAUCAGGUAACAUCAAAUCGUACCCCAAACCGACACAGGUGGUCAGGUAGAGAAUACCAAGGCGCUUGAGAGAACUCGGGUGAAGGAACUAGGCAAAAUGGUGCCGUAACUUCGGGAGAAGGCACGCUGAUAUGUAGGUGAAGUCCCUCGCGGAUGGAGCUGAAAUCAGUCGAAGAUACCAGCUGGCUGCAACUGUUUAUUAAAAACACAGCACUGUGCAAACACGAAAGUGGACGUAUACGGUGUGACGCCUGCCCGGUGCCGGAAGGUUAAUUGAUGGGGUUAGCGCAAGCGAAGCUCUUGAUCGAAGCCCCGGUAAACGGCGGCCGUAACUAUAACGGUCCUAAGGUAGCGAAAUUCCUUGUCGGGUAAGUUCCGACCUGCACGAAUGGCGUAAUGAUGGCCAGGCUGUCUCCACCCGAGACUCAGUGAAAUUGAACUCGCUGUGAAGAUGCAGUGUACCCGCGGCAAGACGGAAAGACCCCGUGAACCUUUACUAUAGCUUGACACUGAACAUUGAGCCUUGAUGUGUAGGAUAGGUGGGAGGCUUUGAAGUGUGGACGCCAGUCUGCAUGGAGCCGACCUUGAAAUACCACCCUUUAAUGUUUGAUGUUCUAACGUUGACCCGUAAUCCGGGUUGCGGACAGUGUCUGGUGGGUAGUUUGACUGGGGCGGUCUCCUCCUAAAGAGUAACGGAGGAGCACGAAGGUUGGCUAAUCCUGGUCGGACAUCAGGAGGUUAGUGCAAUGGCAUAAGCCAGCUUGACUGCGAGCGUGACGGCGCGAGCAGGUGCGAAAGCAGGUCAUAGUGAUCCGGUGGUUCUGAAUGGAAGGGCCAUCGCUCAACGGAUAAAAGGUACUCCGGGGAUAACAGGCUGAUACCGCCCAAGAGUUCAUAUCGACGGCGGUGUUUGGCACCUCGAUGUCGGCUCAUCACAUCCUGGGGCUGAAGUAGGUCCCAAGGGUAUGGCUGUUCGCCAUUUAAAGUGGUACGCGAGCUGGGUUUAGAACGUCGUGAGACAGUUCGGUCCCUAUCUGCCGUGGGCGCUGGAGAACUGAGGGGGGCUGCUCCUAGUACGAGAGGACCGGAGUGGACGCAUCACUGGUGUUCGGGUUGUCAUGCCAAUGGCACUGCCCGGUAGCUAAAUGCGGAAGAGAUAAGUGCUGAAAGCAUCUAAGCACGAAACUUGCCCCGAGAUGAGUUCUCCCUGACUCCUUGAGAGUCCUGAAGGAACGUUGAAGACGACGACGUUGAUAGGCCGGGUGUGUAAGCGCAGCGAUGCGUUGAGCUAACCGGUACUAAUGAACCGUGAGG